GCAAAAGUCAUUUUAAAGGAUAUCUAAUGCUUGGAUAGUUUCAUCUGAGCCACUGGCUUAAUUCUAUUCACCUAUUCUAUUUAGUUAGAGAUGAAAAUCCAACAUACAGGCGUAGGAUCUUAUUUUGAGCUUGUUUGCUACAGCGGGAUCCUGCAGCAAGAGGAAAUGUGAAUUACUAUGUGGAUUAUAAUUAAUGAGAAAAAAAAUUUGUGAGGGAAAGUCUGAUUUUUUAAAGUGUAAAUUACAGCCUUUUUAAAGAUCAAAUACAUUAGAAGUUUGCAUUUCCUGCUGUGCGGGACAAUUCUCAGCCUAAAUGACUACCGACCCGUAGUACUCACGUCUGUAGCCAUGAAGUGCUUUGAAAGGCUGAUCAUGGCUCACAUCAACACCAUCAUCCCAGAAACACUAGACCCACUCCAAUUUGCAUACCGCCCCAACAGAUCCACAGAUGAUACAAUAUCUAUUGCACUCCACACUGCCCUUUCCCACCUGCACAAAAGGAACACCCAUGUGACAAUGCUAUUCAUUGACUACAGCUCAGUGUUCAACACCAUAGUGCCCUCAAAGCUCAAAGCUAAGAACUCUGGGACUAAACACCUCCCUCUGCAACUGGAUCCUGGACUUCCUGACGGGCCGCCCCCAGGUGGUAAGGUUCUCAGUUGCUGGUGGCCGGGAUGGGGUAUCUCAGCUCUUUGCAGGUCUCCUCCUGUGUACUCAUUCUCUCUGGCCCCAGAGCAGGGCCCUCAGGGAGGGGGCAGGAGGACUCCUGCUGGGGUGUUCUGGUGAGGGGACAGCCCUCUACCCCACUCUCGACUUGAUCCACCUUCCUCUCCGACUUGUUGUAUCCCAGGACAACCGUCCCCGGAGAGUAGAUGUAAAUGGACCCUGAAUCAAACACCAAGCACAAACAUUAGUCAAUUAAACUAUUGAAACAGGUGACACAUACAUUCCUAUCUGUUAUGCACAGUAAAUGCUGAUAUAAAAC
ensembl:lncRNA